UUAAUUUUAAGGUACAUGUACUUGAUGAGUCGAUGACAAAGUUGCAUUUAUUUCUUGGUCGACAGUUGGGGAAUAGCUCAGGUAUUUAUGAAUUUUGGGGACUUGAGAUGGGGCAAUGUCUUUCUUUGGUUCAUACCUGGAUUCUGAAACUGUUCUACAUAAAAGUUGAGGAGACAAAGGGGGAGCUUCAGUCCCACACUAUUUACUAGGUCUGUCCCUGCAUAAUAAAAUUCAAUGAUAUUUUCUAGGUUGUUUUGUUGCAGUGGUGCUUCACUUUAUUCAAGUGAUCAUCAUCCUGAUGGACUUUGCCAGCAAGAUCAGCAUUUGAAAACAUAAAAGAAAGUAUACUACUAUUGUUUUUUUUUUCUUUCCAACGGAUUAUGCUAUUUCAAAUUGGAGGUGGUUCCUGAUAUCUUUUUGCAAUGUUAUUAGAAGUUAGAUUGAAUCUUUAGUGAAGCUGAAGGAGACGUUUCAUAAUUGUAAAGAUCCAGAAAAUGAUAUUGUGCUGAAGAUACAAAGGUUAAUUCAUUGCACUAUUUCCUUUAAAAAUCAUGAUCACAAAGAUUGAUUAAUUUCCUUGCAUAUUCUGUACUAUGCAUUGAAACUUCUAUU